UUUGAAAUCUGGUACCUUUGGUGCCCGAGUUGUAAUUUGGAGAGUACCACUUUGGGACUGUACUUUGCCUAUGUUCCUUGGAACAGGACGUCAUGGAGGGUGAGAAUCCCGUGUGGCGAGGGUGUCAGUUCUUUGUAAAGGGUGCUCGAAGAGUCGAGUUGUUUGGGAAUGCAGCUCUAAGUGGGUGGUAAAUUCCAUCUAAAGCUAAAUACAGGCGAGAGACCGAUAGCGAACAAGUACAGUGAUGGAAAGAUGAAAAGAACUUUGAAAAGAGAGUGAAAAAGUACGUGAAAUUGUUGAAAGGGAAGGGCAUUUGAUCAGACAUGGUGUUUUGCGCCCCUUGCCUCUCGUGGGCUUGGGACUCUCGCAGCUCACUGGGCCAGCAUCGGUUUUGGCGGCCGGAAAAAACCUAGGGAAUGUGGCUCUGCGCCUCGGUGUAGAGUGUUAUAGCCCUGGGGAAUACGGCCAGCCGGGACCGAGGACUGCGAUACUUGUUAUCUAGGAUGCUGGCAUAAUGGUUAUAUGCCGCCCGUCUU
rnacentral:rRNA from 1 species